ACAUCCUGGUUCUAGGCAGUCUCCUCUUCCCCAUCACACCUCACACGUCUGCUGUGUCUGCCGCUCAGGUCACUCCUAAACCAUAGGGUCCCACAACCCAGUCUCCCUGCCUCCGCCCCAGCCAGAGGGACCCUCCCUGCAGAGGGCACCGUCCCAGAGCUACUCUAAAGGUAGGGCCAAGAUUCCGUGUUACCUGUGCUG